AGAGUUUGAUCACUGGCUCAGGACGAACGCUGGCGGCGUGCUUAACACAUGCAAGUCGAGCGGAAAGGCCCUUCGGGGUACUCGAGCGGCGAACGGGUGAGUAACACGUGAGUAACCUGCCCCCGACUCUGGGAUAAGCCCGGGAAACUGGGUCUAAUACCGGAUAUGACACCUCCUCGCAUGGGGUGGGUGUGGAAAGUCUUUUCGGUUGGGGAUGGACUCGCGGCCUAUCAGCUUGUUGGUGGGGUAAUGGCCUACCAAGGCGACGACGGGUAGCCGGCCUGAGAGGGCGACCGGCCACACUGGGACUGAGACACGGCCCAGACUCCUACGGGAGGCAGCAGUGGGGAAUAUUGCGCAAUGGGCGAAAGCCUGACGCAGCGACGCCGCGUGGGGGAUGACGGCCUUCGGGUUGUAAACCUCUUUCAGCAGGGACGAAGUUGACGUGUACCUGCAGAAGAAGCGCCGGCUAACUACGUGCCAGCAGCCGCGGUAAUACGUAGGGCGCAAGCGUUGUCCGGAAUUAUUGGGCGUAAAGAGCUCGUAGGUGGCUUGUCACGUCGGGUGUGAAAGCUUGGGGCUUAACUCCAGGUCUGCAUUCGAUACGGGCUGGCUAGAGGUAGGUAGGGGAGAACGGAAUUCCUGGUGUAGCGGUGAAAUGCGCAGAUAUCAGGAGGAACACCGGUGGCGAAGGCGGUUCUCUGGGCCUUACCUGACGCUGAGGAGCGAAAGCGUGGGGAGCGAACAGGAUUAGAUACCCUGGUAGUCCACG
rnacentral:rRNA from 1 species